AACAGCUGCAACAGCCACAUAUCCUUUGGAUCUUGUAAGGACAUGCCUUGCAGCUCAGGUGUCAUAUAGCCUCACAAUCACAGAGUUCCUUGGGGAAGUUCAUCGAGUCCUUAGCAUUUUCUUCCAGAUUAUGGGUAUUGCUGGUUGCCUCAUAUUUCCGGAAAAAGUUUGCUGGUAUCUUAUCUGAGAAGGAAAUUUUGGGCUCAAAACAUUUAAAUUACUUUUGAAACAUAUGGUUUCUUGCAAUAUAGUUUUUAUCUGGUUUUCUGAUAAGUUAAUUUGGACGGUUGCAAGGUGCUACCAGAAGGGAGGAUUAGUUGAGAAGUAUGCUAGUUCACAGAUGCCUUUGUCAAAGCAUCAAACUCGGCCGGGAGUAUUCAUGGAAUUUUGCAAGCAUGAUUCCUGUGCCUGUGGUUGUGAGCCAUACAUAGAUAAUCUGACUCUGUUCAAGGGAAAAGAUGCUUACAGUCAAGGAGUCAUUGAUGUAGUUCGAGUAGAAGAUCCAAGAUGAAGUAGAACGAUUAGCAUGCAGAUUUCUUAUUUCUGGUAUUUAGUUUGAAUGCGAUGAAAACCUUCAAUGCUGAAACUGGUAGGGUUAACAAACUGCCUAAAGUGAAAUCGCUUCCGGGCGUACCUAAACAACCAGGUGGAGUUGAGUGUGGCUAUUAUGUUAUGCGAUACAUGAAAGAGAUAAUAGAGGAUGAGACACUUUCAUUUCCUACCAAGUGGGCGGUAAAGAUGCGGAAGUCAUAUAACCAAAAUCAAAUUGACGAGGUGCGCAUUGAAGUGGCUGAUUAUAUACAGAGUUUGAUGUAGGACUGUGACUGCCAAGAUGUUUUAUGAGUAAGGCUAGCUAGUUUUGGCUUUGAAGCAAAGCUUGGUGUGGAACUUUUGUACAUUGUUGCUUAUAUUUUUCCAAGCUUUGUUUUGUAAGUUUAGGGGUUUAUUUUGGCCCAUUAUGUUGAAUCAUGAAUUUGGAAAGAACAUUAAUGGAAAGCCCUUAAUUUUGGAUGAUGAGAAA